AUGAUGUUUAUAUGUAGGCCAAAUAUAUAUUUUCCUUGUCAUUUUACACUGUUGACUCAGACUUGAAGGUUUGUCAGUAAAUUGAGAGAAAAUAGCGAUGGAAAAGAACGGCAAAAAACCUGAAACAUGCAAGCAUCAUUCGUCCUUUCUCGUGAAAGCACUUUUGCUUGUCUUAUGUGCGGUUGUUGUUGUCCAAUUUGCUGUGAUUGCGUGGAAUGUCGCGUCCUUGAAAGCUUUGAACAAUAAGGUUAACGCUAUGGGAGAAGAAAAGGACUUUAAGUCGUUGGAAAACGAGAAUCACGAAAGCAGAACAACACGAAGCAAACGGGGAACAGAGAACACAGAUAUUAAGAAGGCAUUGAUAAAACUAGAAAAGCUGGAAGGAAGGUAGGGGGGAUCUCAGUUUAAUGACAAAUCAGCUUGUCUGGAUAACAUGAGAAUUUUAGCCAGGUGAGCUUGUUUCUCUAAGGUUUGCUGAAUUCUCAGCGACUCAGCUUAAUCAACCUCGAGAGCGACUGUGCUGAUUGAUAGGCUUAAUCGUUUGAAAUGAUUGGAAGGCAUAAUGUAACAAAAAGCUGGACUAUGUUGGUAAAUUCGGAACAACUUUUGAGAUCGACGGUAUGUUAACUACGAGAUUAUAUUGAAAAUGUGUUUGAUCAACACUGUUUUAAUUUAGUUUUGAUCUUGCCCUAUGUCCUAUAUUUGCUUGCUAUAAAAAUUGAAGCCACCUCGGGAUAGUCAUGAUAUCAUUUCUUGUAUUCUUUAAUACCUAUGAAUGAGUAAGGGAAUUAAUGUAUAGUUUUACAUUAAUUUCCUAUGUUUAGACUGAAUCAGUCGUAUCAAUAUGCUGGUCGUCAACCUGCCUUCCUUCUUCGAGGACCUCCAGGAAAACCAGGAAGAGAUGGCAAUCCAGGAAGAGAUGGCACUGCAGGAAGCGCGGGAAGGAAUGGGAGGGACGGAAGGGAUGGUUCACAGGGAGCCCGAGGUAUUUUAAUUUCCGAUGUAUAUAAAACUUGCGC
rnacentral:lncRNA from 1 species